CACGUAGUUAGCCGGCGCUUCUUCUGCAGGUACCGUCACUUUCGCUUCUUCCCUACUGAAAGAGGUUUACAACCCGAAGGCCGUCAUCCCUCACGCGGCGUCGCUGCGUCAGGCUUUCGCCCAUUGUGCAAUAUUCCCCA
rnacentral:rRNA from 1 species